rnacentral:rRNA from 1 species
UUCGCAAUGCCCGAAAGGGUGACGAAGCGACGCCGCGUGCGGGAAGAAGGCCUUCGGGUUGUAAACCGCUGUCGGGAGUUAAGAAAUGUAAGGGUGUUAAUAGUAUCCUUACUUGACUAAGGCUCCGGAGGAAGCCACGGCUAACUCUGUGCCAGCAGCCGCGGUAAUACAGAGGCGGCAAGCGUUGUUCGGAAUUAUUGGGCGUAAAGAGCACGUAGGCGGCCGUGUAAGUCGGUUGUGAAAGCCUUCCGCUCAACGGAAGAACGGCAUCCGAUACUGCAUGGCUUGAGUGCGGGAGGGGAGAGUGGAACUUCUGGUGGAGCGGUGAAAUGCGUAGAUAUCAGAAGGAACACCGGCGGCGAAGGCGACUCUCUGGCCCGUAACUGACGCUGAGUGUGCGAAAGCUAGGGGAGCAAACGGGAUUAGAUACCCCGGUAGUCCUAGCCGUAAACGAUGGGCACUAAGUAGAGGGGUUUU